rnacentral:rRNA from 1 species
UACGUAGGGUGCAAGCGUUUAAUCGGAAUUACUGGGCGUAAAGCGUGCGCAGGCGGUUUUGUAAGACAGAUGUGAAAUCCCCGGGCUCAACCUGGGAACUGCGUUUGUGACUGCAAGACUUGAGUGCGGCAGAGGGGGGGUAGAAUUCCACGUGUAGCAGUGAAAUGCGUAGAGAUGUGGAGGAAUACCGAUGGCGAAGGCAGCCCCCCUGGGUCCGACACUGACGCUCAUGCAC